UGUCCGUGUACUACUUUGUCCUGUUUGCCGCUCCUGUCUCUUCCACAACAGGAACCUAACAAAUUCGUGGGAAAAAAAGCACCCAAUUUGCACCAAAGGAAAACACUUAUCUCCUUCAAUCCAUUUUCCUCAUCUAUUCCCUUAUGAGAGCAUUAAGUGUUGGUUGGAAGUCAUCAAAUCAAACCCAGAUGUAUAUUACACUGUAGAGUUGCACAGGAAGUCAAAAAGUUUUCCUUUUUAAAAAAAUAAUUGAGUGAAAAAUAAAACAGAAGAAAAAAAACCCUUAAAAAGUCUUUCUUUUUUCCUAAAUUGUUGGUGGUGGUUAGAGAAAAGGAAAUGAGAGAUAGAGACAGAAAGCAAGGAAGCAAGGAAUCAAACAACCCUAAUCUUGUUGAGUGAGAGUGGUUUUGCUGCAUAUAUAUAGAUGAAGAUCACUAGGUGGAGGACAGCACAUUGCCAAAAAUGGGAAGUUAUGAGGUUUCAGAGUUCAGACAUAUAUCAGAAUUCAGAAAAAAGAGAGAGAGCAUGUCAACAUGGUUGUUUGCAGUUGAUGAUUAACAAAGGCUCACAACAAAACUAAGAGAGGGAUCACACCAGAGAGAGGCUGACAGAAGAGAGUGAGCACAUACUAGUGGAGAUUGUAUGAGGGCAUACAAUUGCGGGUGCGUGCUCACUUCUCUAUCUGUCAGCUUCCCAUUCCUUUUUCCUUUUGGUGUGUUCCUCUCAUCUCUUCAAAACUUACUCUUUUUUCUGACAUGCUUCACCACUUCAGCGGCUCCUCAGUGUAACUCUCUUUUAACUUCAUUCCAUUCCAUUCUUUGUUUUUAAUAAUUCACUCACUUUUAAUAGGAUCUAUGUAAUUAUAGUCCUUGAUACGACUCGUAUUACAUGGUCAUUCUUUUGUGUUAAGCGUGCUUAACUGUUUGACAAAUAAUGGAGGACUAAAUUAAGCAAUAUAUAUAUAUAUAUAUAGGUUGCUGGUUCUUCUAGUUGGUAGCGGUUAGCGUGCACAAAGUUAUCUAUUUAUUAUAUAUAAUUCAUGUAGUGUUUGCUUAUCAUUAUCUUCUGCUGUUUCAAGUGCCAUAUAAUCUGAUUCUUAUCUACUUGUGUUUUAUUCUAUUUCUUUUCCAUUUAUUUCUAUAUCUAAUACUGAAAGCGUGACUUUUUAUGGUACUUUCCUUGAUGGUGUUUUGAACUCGAAAUCCAAAUGGAGGUUUUCGAGGUACCACAUCUUACGGUCUUUCUCAAUUCUCACUAUUCAUACUUUAACGGAAAAACUCCUUUUGGAUGAAGUUUCACCAAACCCUUGUUCUUUUUUCUUUUUCUCUUUGCCUUUCUCUCCUUCUGCUCCUUGUCGACCGUGUAGAUCUUUUCUCGCCCUCAGUUUUGGUCCACAAUUUGUGCUCCACGCACUUAUCAGGUUCAGAUAAUCCAGCAUAAAAGGACAAGUCAUGGGUUUUAAAUUUAUUUUUAAAGUGUUGAAUUUGAAGGGUCAGAAUGAGAGAUGUUGCAUAUAUCUUGGAUCUGUCUCCUUGAAUGCCAUUUUGUUUGUAGCCUUCAUUUGAGGUAAAGGAAAAUCUUGGGAGAGUUCAUUAAGCAGCUAGAUAUGGCAAGAUUUGGUCUUUCCCUUUGGGCAGUUAUAUACGCGUUUGUUUGCUACCGUGAUUGAAGGGAAUUCAAGCAACAAUCUUCCUUAUACAGUGCUUCGCAACUUGGAUUCCAUAGCACAGAAGUUGGUAGAUGUUACCAAGGACUGCACAGUGAAGAACUUGAAGCACUAUAAUCACUCAGGUUAAUUGCAAGGGGAAAAAAUGGAAUGCCAACUCUAGCAUACAUAGGAUGGUGGUGUUGAGAGGUGAAGCAAGUACCUGCCAAUGUAAUAAUGGUAGUGUUGAGGUACCUCUGAUGAUGGUGAUGACACCACUGAGCAGAUUGUGAACUUGUGAUGCCUAAACUGAAUGAAAGAUGGAUUACAUGUUAAGCAUAAUACCUGGUGGUGGGGAAAAUGCGAAUAUACAGAAGAUGCAUACUCAAACGCUUCUAUUUCAACUGAUCACAUUAUGACAGUGAAUCCGUUGUGAAGUUCCCAGCUCUCAUACAUCUAAAAAAUGAGGACUGAGUUGCACAAAUGUCACAAUAACACAGUUUGCAGUUUUGGCCAGGAUUCUUUAAUUCCUUACACAAUGCCAUUAAGCCCUAUAAUAGCACACUAUCAAGUUUGGUGGCUUGCAUUUCAAUGUCAAUAUAGUAAGAGGCUGUGCUCAAAAUAAAGAAUAUGAAAUCAUGGUUCAUACUUUGUAGCAACUCAAGUUUGUGAAGUGUCUGAUGAGUGAUUGCUUAGUUUUUAGAAGUAAUGAUCUUAACUUGAAUAUAUGGUUGGAUAAGGGAGAUCCAUGUUGAAGUAAGAUUGAUGAAUGAACUUGUCAUCCCUCGUCCCUAGCUAGAAGACAGGCCACAAGCUGGAGUGGUUGGAGACAUACACAUCGUUUUGAUAACAGACUAACAGGAUGUACUGAAAGUGUUUGUGGAAAAAAAAAAAAAAAAAGACUGGUCGAGCUAGUGAUGUACUAGUGUUAUAUUUGGCCUUGUGAGACUAGGGAGUAACGAGAGGGGUCAAAAUCAUUCUACAUUUUUUAUCUUAUUGGGAGUGAAGGUGGUAAUUUACUUAGUUGAAAUGUACAUAUCUCCAGAUGAUAUCUGAACCAGACCUAGAUAUUGUUAGAUAUUUUUUAUUUUUCAAAAUGGUCCCUUAAAUAGUAUUUUCUUAUAACAAAAUAUAAAUAUUCUGUCAUUAAGAUUGGUUAA